rnacentral:lncRNA from 1 species
CUCGCUCCCAAUGGGUUGAAUGAAUGGUAAAAAUCACUGUUUAGGUAAAAAUUCUCUGUAAAGGAUUUAUCCUCUGUUAGGUAAAAAAUCCUCUGUAAAGUUUUGAUAAAUGGGAAAAAGGAUUUGUGAGGCUAGUCUUAAACUGUAGUGAAUCUGGUGUGCUGUGUGUGUCUUUCUGUAUUGUUCUGUCAUAAAAGAGGGGUACUCUAAGAUACAGUGCGAGCCUAGGACUCCCAUAAAACCACUGUUCAAGAAGGCGCAACAAACUGGUCAGUUAAAAACUUUGCUGCACAUCCCUGAAAAAAGAAAAAAGAACUGGAUGACAUUUCCCUAUUGUCUUGAUACAACUGGAGAAACUGGUUAUUUUACCAAGGCUUUGACUGGAAUGGUGUGUUUACCUUUAAGGAAUCAAACUUGACUUAGAGAGCCAAGAAGAGCCCCUUGAAAAAAACUAGCCUCAUACCUUGUCUACACAGUCCCUGUACAGGGUUCCUGACCUGUGGUAAGUAAAGAAUGUCACCUUCUGAAAGGCCCAGGAGCCCCAAGUUAUUUUGGGACCUCAAGAGGAGAAGAAUUUACUCAACUCAUAGAUAUCUGGGGUACAAACCCAUGGCUAGGCUUGGCUUUAAAAAAAAGUCUUAUCUGAGAUUCCCUCUAUGGAACAAAAUUUCAUCAAAGACAAAUUUAAAAGCCUAUGUGAAAAAUAAUUAUUCUUGCUGCACUGUAUACAAAUAAUCAGGCCAAGUAUAAUAAAGCAAAUUAGUCUUACUAUGAUUUGUCUCCAGCAAAAAUGGGAAACUAGAGAACAAUUAUGUUUCAAGAACUGUGGUAUAACCUGUUAUUAAGUUCUAGUCUCAUCAGUUGAUUUUAAGGUUUUUUUCUGUAAUUUAGGCCAACCCUGUUUAUUCCUGUGAACCAACCAGUGAUCUCUUGACUGCUGCUCAGAAGAAACAACAGGGAUGGAUAUCAUCUUUUGUCAGAACUCGGAGUCAUGAACGGCCCUUGCCAUACCAAUGCUUUCUGACUGAGCUCCUCUCUAUCUACCCUGAAUGCAAGAGACCCAAUAGUUAGGCAGGAAUGGCAUUGCCCCUAUCAGCUUGAAGAAGUUACAGAAGAUGCAUCUUUAUCCCUCUGCAACCCUUAGGAUUAAGGGUUUUCUUAUAAAAGGGACGGGGGAAAUGUUAGAGGUGUUUGAACCAGAGCAACUCCAUCUUGAAUAGGGGCUGGGUAAAAUGAGGCUGAGACCUAUUGGGCUGCAUUCCCAGACGGUUAAGGCAUUCUGUGUCACAGGAUGAGUUAGGAGGUCAGCACAAGAUACAGGUCAUAAAGAUCUUGCUGAUAAACAGGAUGCAGUAAAGAAGC